rnacentral:rRNA from 1 species
GACGAACGCUGGCGGCGUGCUUAACACAUGCAAGUCGAACGGACAGGCCCUGAUUUUGCGGGGUGCUCGAGUGGCGAACGGGUGAGUAACACGUGAGUAAACUGUCCCUGAAUUUGUGAUAACUUCAGGAAAAUGGGGCUAAAACCGGAUAGGAUAUCUUGCUGCAUGGUGGGGGAUGGUAAGUUUCGGCGGUUGGGGCUGGUAUCGCGGCUUAUCAGCUUGUUUGUGAGGUAGUGGCUUACCAAGGCUUUGAAGGGUAGCCGGCCUUGGAGGGUGACCGGGCACAUGGGGACUGCGAUACGGCCCAGACGCCAACGUGAGGCAGCGGUGGAGAGUAUUGCACAGUGGGCGGAAGCCUGAUGCAGCAACGCCGCGUGCGGGAUGACGGGUUUCGGGGUGAAAACCACUUUCGCCUUUAACGAAGCGUGAGUGACGGUAAUUGGUAAGGAAGCACCGGCUAACUACGUG